UCUGCAUAAAAUAAUAUACACUCUUGUCAAGUAAUGUAUAUUCUACAACGAUGAACUGAAAACUCUUCUCAAUACUUGACACAAUUACUAAAAACUUCAUAUUUGAAUAAUUUGAUAUUGGCGCUUGGCCGCUUUAAGACAGAAGGGACGAAAUGAGAUCUGUAAUAUUCGGGCAAUAUCGCCGUAUUCGGAAAGUGUUCGGCAACGAUUUGAAAACUACGUCGAAGUCCGGAAAUAAUACUUAAAUCAAGAAAUAAUUGAGUGCUUUUUAUCUUAAGAACUAAAACACAUUAUAAAUGUGUGUGUGUGUUUAUUUUAACUUUCAUUUCAAUUUAUUUUAAUUAAUUCGUUUGAAUUUUCUUUUUCGUUCAUAACUUCACAGCUGAAGACAUUUUGUUGCAAAAUGAAAGUGCGUAAAAAGGCCAAGCGGUUUGCAAACACAAAAAAAUGUGAUACCGAUAACCAAUGUUGUUCUGCUGUUCCAUUACUAUUACGGUUUACACCUGCGUCAAACAAGAUGCGAACGGUCUGAUUGAUUUGGCAAUCAACUAUGUCAACUAUGCUGUAUGCGUUCUAAAUUUUAACCAUGGAUAAAUUGCGUUGUUCUGUAAAGUAUGUCUCAGUACCAUGUAUGACAGCAGGAUAAAUGAGGUCAACCUUCUGACCGAUAAACAUCAAGCUUAAGCCUUAUAUGUGUCAACUAGAUCUACACCAACACAACAAAUGACGAUUUCAUUUUUUAUUAAUAAGAUUUUACCGGUAACUUACAUGUUUUUGC